GUGCCAGCCGCCGCGGUGAUACGGAGGGUGCAAGCGUUGUCCGGAUUUAUUGGGUUUAAAGGGUGCGUAGGCGGCUAUUUAAGUCAGCGGUGAAAGACAUCGGCUCAACCGAUGCAGUGCCAUUGAUACUGGAUAGCUUGAGUGUUGGAGGGGUACAUGGAAUUGAUGGUGUAGCGGUGAAAUGCAUAGAUACCAUCAGGAACACCGAUAGCGAAGGCAUUGUACUGGCCAACAACUGACGCUGAGGCACGAAAGCAUGGGUAGCGAACAGGAUUAGAAACCCCAGUAGUCC
rnacentral:rRNA from 1 species